rnacentral:lncRNA from 1 species
UUUUUAUCAAAAAUGAUACUAUUUGAUAUAAAAUCAGUUAUUUUUACCAUCUUCAGACAAGUCUUCUAAUCAGAAUUGAGAUAUAAUGAGAAUUAAAAUACUUAAACUUUUAUUUUUGUGGAUAAGAAUGCAGUUAUUGAUUUAUUUUGAUACAAAUUAUUAACCGUCAUAUGAUUUGAGUACUUUUUGUACAUCAAGAUUGGCUGUUCUUCAUCAAAUAUGCUUACUUUAAGGAAAAAGAUACUAAUUUUUUGUACGCGUU